rnacentral:rRNA from 1 species
AUUGAACGCUGGCGGCAGGCCUAACACAUGCAAGUCGAGCGAGAGGAGGACGGGUGAGUAAUGUAUUGGGAUAUGCCUGAUGGAGGGGGAUAACUACUUGAAACGGUAGCUAAUACCGCAUUCCAUCACAUGAUCCCAUAUGGGAUUAGCUUGUAGGUGAGGUAACGGCUCACCUAGGCGACGAGCCCUAGCUGGUCUGCGAGGAUGAUCAGCCACACUGGGACUGAGACACGGCCCAGACUCCUACGGGAGGCAGCAGUGGGGAAUAUUGCACAAUGGGCGCAAGCCUGAUGCAGCCAUGCCGCGUGUAUGAAGAAGGCCUUCGGGUUGUAAAGUACUUUCAGUCGGGAGGCGUUACCGACAGAAGAAGCACCGGCUAACUCCGUGCCAGCAGCCGCGGUAAUAC